GUCUACGGCUAUACCACCCUGAACACACCCGAUCUCCUCUGAUCUCGGAAGCUAAGCAGGGUCAGGCCUGGUUAGUACUUGGUUGAGAAAUAAGUUCUCUAGACC
ensembl:rRNA 5S_rRNA 5S ribosomal RNA